AGAAUUGUGUGUCUGGUGUGUUUCUUCUUGUAUUUAAGUAACUUGCACGAACUUUUUUGACAUCAUGGGGCGACUGGACUUCCUGGACGUUUUAAACAAACUUGACUAUAUAACUCGGACUGACUGGACUUCAUGUACGGACUUGACUUUGCGUAUUUACUUGGACAUCUUGGACUGAGGCGUGACUUCUGCACAAUAUCUAGGUCAUAUUGGAACCGGUACACUGUCAUCGCUGCCAGGCGUUUGAUCAUAGUCUAUUAUUGCCGUCGCCCGUUCGUCUGUCUCAAAUGUGGGCAAGCACACCCCAUGUACACCAUGCAUGCGCAAAAUAUAUCAAUUCAUCAUGUUUCAAAUUACAAAGGUUGCAGCAGCUUGAAUCAAAUAGUAAAUAUCAAUACCACAGUACGCCAGUCAAAAAGCAACACACAGCAGCAGCAACUGCAGAAACAUCAUCAUCUUCAGCAGUAACAGCGGCAGCAGUAGCAGUAACAGCUAAUCAUAUACCACCAACAACAGAAUCAUGAGCCGCAGCAAAUCCAACAAACCAGAUACUCAAAUAUAAAAGCCGCCAAUGGGAAGCUCAACAGCGCCAAAUACAACCAAACCAAAAUUGCCGUUUUCAUAGACAAAAACAAGAGGAGAAUGCAUUAAAAUGUCAAGAACAACCACAGAGUGUAUCGGCAAAACAACGACAAGAAUAGCCACGCCAACACUGAAACAAUCAGCAGCGUCACCAGUAAAAUGACCCACAACUAAAUUGUAAUUGACCAUGUCCCACCACUGCAGCAAAAACAAGACACUCCUGGAGUAUGUAACCUGUACUCAACGCCUGUGUUUUCAAGCUAAUGCCCAGAUUGCGGUGGUCGGGAUGUUUUCGGCACACAUUAUCACCGUGUCAUUAGCAUAAGUAGCGAGCAUCAUGCGGUUUUCGUUAAACUGACUGUAUUCAUUGAGGUCAGCGGCAUGUCGGAUGAGAAGAUUUUGUACAGGACUGGCCCAGUCUACUGCCUUUACUACCUUCAUUUUUUUUUUUUUUCUGACACAUUUCAUUUUGGCAGUCCGCAGCCCACGUCCGACACUCAAAUUCAAAGUGAUGACCAACAAAAGUUGCAAAGA